rnacentral:rRNA from 1 species
CACGCAGGCGGUUGGAUAAGUUAGAUGUGAAAGCCCCGGGCUCAACCUGGGAAUUGCAUUUAAAACUGUCCAGCUAGAGUCUUGUAGAGGGGGUAGAAUUCCAGGUGUAGCGGUGAAAUGCGUAGAGAUCUGGAGGAAUACCGGUGGCGAAGGCGGCUUCCUGGCACACAACUGACGCUCAUGUGCGAAAGCCAGGGCAGCAACG